AUUGAACGCUGGCGGCAGGCCUAACACAUGCAAGUCGAGCGGAGCGGCGGACGGGCGAGUAAUGCCUAGGAAUCUGACUGGUAGUGGGGGAUAACGUCCGGAAACGGGAGCUAAUACCGCAUACUAUCAGAUGAGCCGAGGGGGGAUUAGCUAGUUGGUGGGGUAAAGGCCUACCAAGGCGACGAUCCGGAACUGGUGUGAGAGGAUGAUCAGGCACCCUGGAACAUAGACACGGUCCUGACGCCUACGGGAGGCAGCAGUGGGGAAUUUUGGGCUAUGGGCGAAAGCCUGAUCCAGCCAUGCCGCGUGUGUGAAUAAGGUCUUCGGGUUGUAAAGUUCUUUAAGUUGGGCGGCGUUACCAACAGAAUAAGCACCGGCUAACUACGUGCCAGCAGCCGCGGUAAUUC
rnacentral:rRNA from 1 species